UGGGGAAUUUUGCACAAUGGGGGAAACCCUGAUGCAGCGACGCCGCGUGAUUUAGAAGGCCUUCGGGUUGUAAAAAUCUUUUCUAUGGGAAGAAAAUGACAGUACCAUAGGAAUAAGGACCGGCUAAUUACGUGCCAGCAGCCGCGGUAAUACGUAAGGUCCGAGCGUUGUCCGGAAUCAUUGGGCGUAAAGGGUACGUAGGCGGGUAAGCAAGUUAGAAGUGAAAUCCUAUAGCUCAACUAUAGUAAGCUUUUAAAACUGCUCAUCUUGAGGUAUGGAAGGGAAAGUGGAAUUCCUAGUGUAGCGGUGAAAUGCGCAGAUAUUAGGAGGAAUACAGGUGGCGAAGGCGAGUUUCUGGCCAUAACCUGACGCUGAGGUACGAAAGCGUGGGUAGCAAACAGG
rnacentral:rRNA from 1 species